rnacentral:rRNA from 1 species
ACGGGAGGCAGCAGUGAGGAAUAUUGGUCAAUGGGCGCGAGCCUGAACCAGCCAAGUAGCGUGAGGGAAGACGGCCCUACGGGUUGUAAACCUCUUUUGCGCGGGAAUAAAGUCAGCCACGUGUGGCUGUUUGCAUGUACCGCGGGAAUAAGGACCGGCUAAUUCCGUGCCAGCAGCCGCGGUAAUACGGAAGGUCCGGGCGUUAUCCGGAUUUAUUGGGUUUAAAGGGAGCGCAGGCCGCCUUUUAAGCGUGUUGUGAAAUGCGGGCGCCCAACGUCCGCACUGCAGCGCGAACUGGAGGGCUUGAGUUUGCGGAAAGAAGGCGGAAUUCGUUGUGUAGCGGUGAAAUGCUUAGAUAUGACGAAGAACUCCGAUUGCGAAGGCAGCCUUCUGCAGCAUUACUGACGCUAAAGCUCGAAAGUGCGGGUAUCGAACAGGAUUAGAUACCCUGGUA